UACGGCCCAAUUCCUGGGUGGAUCUCACGUGACAGGAAGGGGGGUCAAUCAUUUUGCAAUGCAGUCUGCUGAAAAUGAUGGCAAGCGCCACUUUACCGAGUAAAAUUGGAAUUUGCCACAAAACACAUUUUUUAAGACGAACGCUAAAUUUUGUCACGUUUCAUGUGUCAGGUGACCCGCCAUGGAUGGGGGGGCCGCAUGCAUCCCCCCUUCUUGCUGCACGCACUUUUAGUCAGCAUCACGAUUGCUCGCUCUCCUCAUGUUUAGUCGGACACCUUUGGCUCUUAAAUUCGUUAAAAACAUUAAAAGUACACAUUUGUUUUUGAAUAUGAAAAAAAAAAAUUCCUCACCACUUUUUGUUUUGUGGGAAACUGCAGUUCACAAAAUUGACCACCAGGCGGCCCAAAGACACUAUGAAACAACAACUCAUUGAUUCAUGUGAAAUAUUGCCACCAAUACACAAAGUCAACGUAGGUUAUUGGCGAUAACAACGUGGUAUUUAAAUCACGCAAAUGGUCUUCUCGCCGCUUAUAAAUGGUAGUUGCCGCCUUUUUAAAUACCGUAUUUUCUUGAAUUGCUGCCGGGGCGCUAAUUAUUUUAAAACCUCUUCUCACUCCGGCACUUACAGAAAGGCAUGCGGUAAAUUUAGGCCUGCGCUUAAUAAUUUGAGUGUGAUGUAAGGAUACCAUCAUGAAAAGCGAAUUUAAUAAAAAAAACUUUAUCGUCUUACCUUUACUUAUAAAUGAAGUCCAUGCACAGCUCCUUCUGAUCAAAAGCAUCGAUAACUUGUUUAUAGAAGUCUUCCUUAUCUUUCUUCAGUUUUAAAAGUCUCUCUGUCUCGAUGGAGAUCUUCCUUUAUUACCUCCUGCUUCCAUUGAAAGUCCAGUUUAGAAAACGGUUUUAUUUUAGAUAUGUAAUCCUCCAUGUUAAAAGUGCAAGCGAGAGGAAAAAUAAGCGAUUGCUGCUUGUUGUCACUUCUUCUGCAGCCGAGUAGUCGCAAGAAGGAUCACUAGCGCCCUCUACCACCAGGAGGCGGGAGUCAUUUAAUGACUCGUAUUUGACACACGCAGCUACGGUAUAUUAAUAAAACAUAGCUGCUUACUGUUCUUUUUAGCAUAUUCAAUAGCUUGGACCUUAAAUCCUACUGAAUAGCUCUUAAUCUUCUUCCCUUUAUGCGAUUUCAAAUGAUUGAAAUCAGCCUCCUCCAUUUUGAAAAUGAUGACAGGUGAAGUGUCACUCGUGACGUGACGAGUUUGACCCGGUGGAAAUUCUAGGCAUAUGCUAAUUAUUUGGCGAAACAAGUUUGGAAAUUCUAGACAUGCGCUAAUAAAAAUAAUAUUUUGCGAAUUGUAAUUGUAGGCAGGCACAUACUAUCUACCCGGCGACAAUUCAAGGAAAUACAGUAAUUAAAGGGAAGUUGCAGAAAAUGAUAGCAAAUAGACAAAGUUGUUUUUGGAACCUGAGGAGAGCAAAGUGAUGACUUUUAGGAGGCUUUUCUUCUGCUACCUCUUUUUUGCUCACGCACUUACUUCGUGGACACACACUCUUUCUCUACUGUGUGUGUGUGUGUUGUGUUACUUAGUGCACACACUCUCUUUCUCUACUGUGUGUUGUGUUACUUAGUGCACACACUCUUUCUCUACUGUGUGUUGUGUUACUUAGUGCACACACUUUCUCUACUGUGUUGUGUUACUUAGUGCACACACUUUCUCUACUGUGUUGUGUUACUUAGUGCACACACUUUCUCUACUGUGUUGUGUUACUUAGUGCACACACUUUCUCUACUGUGUUGUGUUACUUAGUGCACACACUUUCUCUACUGUGUGUUGUGUUACUUAGUGCACACACUCUUACUGUGUGUUGUGUUACUUAGUGCACACAUUCUCUUUCUCUACUGUGUGUUGUGUUACUUAGUGCACACAUUCUCUUUCUCUACUGUGUGUUGUGUUACUUAGUGCACACACUCUCUUUCUCUACUGUGUGUUGUGUUACUUAGUGCACACACUCUCUUUCUCUACUGUGUGUUGUGUUACUUAGUGCACACACUCUCUUUCUCUACUGUGUGUUGUGUUACUUAGUGCACACACUCUCUUUCUCUACUGUGUGUUGUGUUACUUAGUGCACACACUCUCUUUCUCUACCGUGUGUUGUGUUACUUAGUGCAUACACUCUUACUGUGUUGCGUUACUUAGUGCACACACUCUUUCUCUACUGUGUGUUGUGUUACUUAGUGCACACACUCUUUCUCUACUGUGUGUUGUGUUACUUAGUGCACACACUCUCUUUCUCUACUGUGUGUUGUGUUACUUAGUGCACACACUCUCUUUCUCUACUCUGUGUGUGUUACUUAGUGCACACACUCUUAUUGUGUUGUGUGUGGUUUGACCUUCACCAGCAGAUCUUUGCCAGCGAUGCACUUCUCUUUGUGUUUGUCCAUUCGCACGCAGCCUCCAAACGAAGCUGCGACCUCAGCUGUGUUGUACCUCGCUGUGCCUCCAACCCGCGGCCUUAUUUUGGGACGAUAUCAGGGGUUUUAAUGCAGGACCAUCUCGUCUGUGGACACUUUCACUUUCUUUCUCCGAUACGAUCACUUGAUUGAGUUUCUAUAUUUUUAUGGAAAUCCUCAUUUUUCAAAGUCAUGUAGUAGAAAUGAGGCCUGGUGAAAAGAGUACUUUUGCUUUUCAGUCCCGAGUAGGUUUUAUUGACACUUUCACGCCACCAUGCAGUAAAUCUAAACAUACCUCAUCGCAUUCUUACUUUUCCACAUCACACAGUUGCCAUGGUUACCCUCACGCUAGAGGGCGCGCUCUACGACAGGAUGUACUUUUUAUACGUACAGGAAGUCAAACGUCUGUUCUUUUUUUGUCGGGAUGUUCUUUCCUCCUCGCAGUUAAUCCAUUGUACUUUGAUGACAUGCAUUGUAUUUACUUAUACAAAAAAAUACAAGCGAUAAUAAAUGUCGCGCAAAUCACAAAUAAAGCAGCUGUACAUAAUGAUGCAAAAUCA